rnacentral:rRNA from 1 species
UACGUAGGGUGCAAGCGUUGUCCGGAAUUAUUGGGCGUAAAGAGCUCGUAGGCGGUCUGUCGCGUCUGCUGUGAAAACUCGGGGCUUAACCCCGGGCCUGCAGUGGGUACGGGCAGACUAGAGUGCGGUAGGGGAGACUGGAAUUCCUGGUGUAGCGGUGAAAUGCGCAGAGAUCCGGAGGAACACCAGUGGCGAAGGCGACACGCUGGGCCGUACCUGACGCUAAAGCGCGACAGCAUGGGGAGCAAACGGG